CCUCAGCUUUAGCGCAGGCUCACGCUGAAGCCCAGUCUCAAUUUCAAGUCCAAGCCCAAGCCCAGGCCCAAGCUCAGGCUCAAGCCCAGGCCCAAGCAAACGUUCUUGCGCAAGCUCAAAACUUCAUUAAUGCACAGGCUAACGACAUAGGAAACUCUCUCCAGUCCGAUUUACAAUUAGCCAAUCAAUUAGCGUAUAACGACAAUUAUGGUAAGCACAUAAAGAGCUUUAUCUUGAGAUAAAGAAAAAUUCGCUAAAAUCAGUUGAAAUUUUAAUGGAUUUUAUAAUGAAAAGAUUAAUCUCAAAGUAAUUUCUUAAUUUUUUAAUAUUUUUCACAAAUUCGUAAUUUUUUAAAAACUUAUCUUCUUUACUUAAUAUUUGUUUGCAAAUUUUAUAGAUGUCAAAAAAUUCGGUAAGAUGUACAUUUAAAUGUUGUUGUUAACGCCAAACCGUUCUGUUCCACCGUCACGCAAAAUGUCGUCACGCACAAAGAUGUUGAAUCUGUCGCGCACUGCCACUUGUCUUUGAUUAUUCCACAGCUGUAUUUGAAUACUGUUUUCACUUUCACUUUGUCUUUCUUUUAUCAAUUCUUGUUUUCAUUUUUCAGUCUUUUCAUAAUACGUGCUUUAUUUCUCACUUUUGCAGUUUGAUCUCCUUUUUUCACAUCACAUUUUUGAUGCACGCAUUAUAUGUUAUAUUAUAUGUUAUAAUCUAUGGGGUCGUUUUCUUCUUAAGUUGUCUCCAUGUAAUGAAUUAUCUUUUUUUCUUCAGUAAUUUAUGAGAACUGAUCCUUGAAAAAUAAUGGUAACUUUUUUGUUAUCUUCCCUCUUCUUUAUUCACCUUGCCUUUUUAUAUUUAAAUCCUGUUUGGGUGUCCCUAAACCUUGAUUAUUUUCUUUUUAUCCUUUAUCCCUACGUAAGAAUAAAAUAUUUACAUAUGUAUCAUUCUGUUUUCAUUUUCUGUAUUGAUUACUUGCUUUGGUAUAGACGCAAUUUCUUUGCACAUAAUUUUUCAUCCAUGGAAUUGGCAAAGGAUAUGAUUAUAUAAGGCAUCCUUUUCCUAUACUUGGACAGUUUAUUAUCACAUCACAAUUUUGCCUGCUUCAUUGCCAUUUUUGCCAAAAAGUCAUCUUUCUACGAUCUACUAUAUCAAAAUAAUCGUCUAUUUCAUCAACUUUUGUAUAUUUUGUUAAUUUCUAUGAAAUCUUUAAACUAUAUUUGCCACCUGUCCAAAGCAUUAUACACCUUUUUAUUCUGCUUUGUAUUAUUUAUGUGGGCACUUUUGUAUUACAGCUACGUAGAGAAUCAUGUUGUUUUCCCCUAAUAUUAAUUGACUUUAUUUCAAUUUAAUGUGUAACUUGUUUUUUUCCCUAUUAUUCAAAACGUUUCUUGUUGUUUUCUUUAUUUAUGGUCAAUAUUUUAAUAUUUAUUUUUAAGACGAUAUUUGUUUUGUAUUUUACUGUCUGUUUAAUAUUAUACAUUUUCUAACUUCUUUGUUUAUGUCUUUUUUACAGGGCAUUAGAAAGGAUCUGUUCUCGAGGCCGUCGGUAAGUUUUAUCAUCAACAUACUUAUGUUUGUUUUUUUCUGUUACCAAUCUCCAACAAAGAUCCUUUACUUUUGUGAAGAAAUGAUAGUUAUUUUCAAUAUUAAGUAUUAACUUAUUAACAAUUCUCAAAUGCAGUGCUUUGCGUAUAUCGCGAAGAUAUAUAAAGAUAAAAUAAAUAUAUCAGAUCAUUACAAACAGAAAAUAAAUGUUAUUAAACAUGUAUUGAAAACAAAUAUGAAACCUUCUCACUAAUCAUUUUUUUUAUUUCCAGAGACUCUCGGCUUUUCCUUCUGGGUUAUGAGACACCAUUGUACAUUACUAUAAAUAGUACCAUAUUUAACAUUGGCUAUUUCAGUGUGUUACAUUCAUCCUCGGGCGUCUGAAUAUAUUUUAUUAAUAAAAUAUACAUUUGGGUUUGUU
rnacentral:misc_RNA from 1 species